GACGAACGCUGGCGGCGUGCCUAAUACAUGCAAGUCGAACGCUUUUUCUUUCACCGGAGCUUGCUCCACCGGAAGAAAAAGAGUGGCGAACGGGUGAGUAACACGUGGGUAACCUGCCCAUCAGAAGGGGAUAACACUUGGAAACAGGUGCUAAUACCGUAUAACACUAUUUUCCGCAUGGAAGAAAGUUGAAAGGCGCUUUUGCGUCACUGAUGGAUGGACCCGCGGUGCAUUAGCUAGUUGGUGAGGUAACGGCGCACCAAGGCAACGAUGCAUAGCCGACAUGAGAGGGUGAUCGGCCACACUGGGACUGAGACACGGCCCAGACUCCUACGGGAGGCAGCAGUAGGGAAUCUUCGGCAAUGGACGAAAGUCUGACCGAGCAACGCCGCGUGAGUGAAGAAGGUUUUCGGAUCGUAAAACUCUGCUGUUAGAGAAGAACAAGGAUGAGAGUAAAAUGUUCAUCCCUUGACGGUAUCUAACCAGAAAGCCACGGCUAACUACGUGCCAGCCGCCGCAGUAA
rnacentral:rRNA from 1 species